GACGAACGCUGGCGGCGUGCCUAAUACAUGCAAGUCGAACGAAGCUGUUUUAACUGGUGCUUGCACCGACUUAAACAACUGAGUGGCGAACGGGUGAGUAACACGUGGGUAACCUGCCCCAAAGCGGGGGAUAACAUUUGGAAACAGAUGCUAAUACCGCAUAAUCACAGAAACCACAUGGUUUCUGUGUCAAAGAUGGUUUCGGCUAUCACUUUGGGAUGGACCCGCGGCGUAUUAGCUAGUUGGUAAGGUAAUGGCUUACCAAGGCAAUGGUGCGUAGCCGAACUGAGGGGUUGAUCGGCCACAUUGGGACUGAGACACGGCCCAAACUCCUACGGGAGGCAGCAGUAGGGAAUCUUCCACAAUGGACGAAAGUCUGAUGGAGCAACGCCGCGUGAGUGAAGAAGGUUUUCGGAUCGUAAAACUCUGUUGUCAGAGAAGAACGUGUGCGAGAGUAACUGUUCGUGCAGUGACGGUAUCUGGCCAGAAAGCCACGGCUAACUACGUGCCAGCCGCCGCGGUAA
rnacentral:rRNA from 1 species